UACGAAGGGUGCAAGCGUUACUCGGAAUUACUGGGCGUAAAGCGUGCGUAGGUGGUUUGUUAAGUCUGUUGUGAAAGCCCCGGGCUCAACCUGGGAAUGGCAAUGGAUACUGGCAGGCUAGAGUGCGGUAGAGGGUAGUGGAAUUCCCGGUGUAGCGGUGAAAUGCGUAGAGAUCGGCAGGAACACCCAGGGGGAAACCAGCCGACUGGGGAUGUGCUGACGCUGAGGUGCGAGAGCGUGGGGAGCGAACCGG
rnacentral:rRNA from 1 species